GAAAUGCGAUAAGUAAUGUGAAUUGCAGAAUUCAGUGAAUCAUCGAAUCUUUGAACGCACAUUGCGCCCCUUGGUAUUCCGAGGGGCAUGCCUGUUCGAGCGUCAUUAUAACCAAUCACGCCCUGUGCGUGGACUUGGGGUUCGCGGUCUCGCGUCCCUUAAAGUUAGUGGCGGUGCUGUUAGGCUCUAAGCGUAGUAAUUCUUCUCGCUAUAGGGUCUUGCGGUUACUUGCCAUAACCCCAACUUUCUUAGGUUGACCUCGGAUCAGGUAGGGAUACCCGCUGAACUUAA
rnacentral:misc_RNA from 1 species